AUGAGUUCAUGAAUCGAACUGCCAGAGGAAGUGGUGGAGGCGGCUUGUUGUUGAAAAGGACCCCUAGGAGUUCAGGAUAUAGACCAGAUUUUAUAGGAUUUGAAAUCCCAGAUAAAUUUGUGGUGGGAUAUGCCCUGGAUUACAAUGAGUAUUUCCGAGACUUGAAUCAUAUUUGUGUGAUCAGUGAAAAAGGAAGACAAAAGUACAAGGUAUGAAGACACAAAGGACAUGUUUGCAAUAACGUGAAUAUUUCUGGCAAGGAAUAGAUCACUGUAGAUCUUGAAACAUCCCUACCCUCUUGGUCAAUCGAUUUAUAUAGGCAAUGGAAUGUGUGCAAAAAGGCUCCAUCUGAAAAUGUACAUAGCUGCACAUAUGUCAGAUUAUUUACUAUUUUUGUAUUGUGUCUGAUGGAAAUGGGUUAAAUUUUUAUAUUUGAAAUGUGCUGUAAAGUUAUGAUUUGCCCUCCUGGAAACAUUGAGAGCAAAAAGAAAUAUUUUUAUAUUCAGAUGUUUUGUUUAUGUGUGCACAAAUGAGCGUAAGGCGGUAUCCUAAUCAAAUCUGCAGCAUCUACUGCGCUCCAUGUUUCACGCGAGGCAGUGGUGAACAGUUGGAGUCAAUGGCCCAAUAUCAAUACUGGGCAGCAGUGCUCAUGAGUAGGCAUUGUCAGAAUGGGCAGGUGAGCUCCAUUUGCCAAGCCUACCUCAACAAGGUUGAAGAAGGGUAGGUGAGAUUGGGAGCGUACUGACCCAGGGCCAGUCGCUUCAAAUGGCUUGGGUGGUCUGCAAAUCAGUAGUUGAAAACAACAACCAAAGGCCUGGGGGUUUAAAAACUGGUGGCCUGAAAUGUAUUCAUAGCAAACCCAAUUCCCAUUGACUUCAAUGGGACAGAGAACCAGAUCAGAUAGAAAAUGACUGAUCCACUACAAAGCUGUUUUCAUCUAUUGGUCCAGGCUAGCUUUGGAGUGUCCUGUCUCUGUUGAACCCAUUUUGUAAAUGUAUUUGGGAUUGUCUGGUUUGCAAGUAAUAAGGCGGCCACUCUUCUCCCUCCCUCAGGGUCCCAUCCCCCUGCAAAGGCGCACAUCCCAACCCCACUGCUAUGCAGUGCUGUGGCUUAGUGACAUUUCUAAUGACCAGGUCAAAGGGAGCCCUGAGAGUGGAAAGGCAAAGAGGAUAUAAGGCAGCACAGCCUUCGGCUCUUUUAUCCCAUCGCCUGAUAGAGAAUAGGAACCCAUCUAUACCAAUUUUCUUCUGCAAAGUGGCAGCAAGAAAUGGGGGGUUCCAAACCCCUUUCUGGAUAGGAAUUCCACCUCAUUCUAUUUCUGCCAAUCUACCUUUAGUGGGCUUUUCCCUGCUUCAUGUGGCUUGGUCAUUAUGGCUAUCACUUGCUGAGCAUGUAGAUCUGUGUUGGCAUGCUCUGUGUACAGUGUUUGCCGGAUUGGCUUCCCACCAAAGUUUUAACACAAGGGGAUGAGCUGCUUGCAUCUUUGUCUUGUAAACAUUGCAUGUAACAGCACAAGCUAGAGAUCCCAGAACUCAGUGCAUGGUGUGGGACAUACUUCUCAGUGCAUUUGCCACUUCAAUGUCAGCCUACACUACUUGGCUAUUAAUUUAUCUUCUGUUUAUUUAUAUUUAUGGAUGUAUUAGCAAUAAACCAAACUUGGCAAGAUA